rnacentral:rRNA from 1 species
UGGCUGAGUGGCGAACGAGCGUGCACGUAAUACAUCGGAACAUGUCCUGUAGUGGGGGAUAGCCCGGCGAAAGCCGGAUUAAUACCGCAUACGAUCUACGGAUGAAAGCGGGGGACCUUCGGGCCUCGCGCUAUAGGGUUGGCCGAUGGCUGAUUAGCUAGUUGGUGGGGUAAAGGCCUACCAAGGCGACGAUCAGUAGCUGGUCUGAGAGGACGACCAGCCACACUGGGACUGAGACACGGCCCAGACUCCUACGGGAGGCAGCAGUGGGGAAUUUUGGACAAUGGGCGAAAGCCUGAUCCAGCAAUGCCGCGUGUGUGAAGAAGGCCUUCGGGUUGUAAAGCACUUUUGUCCGGAAAGAAAUCCUUGGUCCUAAUAUGGCCGGGGGAUGACGGUACCGGAAGAAUAAGCACCGGCUAACUACGUGCCAGCAGCCGCGGUAAUACGUAGGGUGCAAGCGUUAAUCGGAAUUACUGGGCGUAAAGCGUGCGCAGGCGGUUUGCUAAGACCGAUGUGAAAUCCCCGGGCUCAACCUGGGAACUGCAUUGGUGACUGGCAGGCUAGAGUAUGGCAGAGGGGGGUAGAAUUCCACGUGUAGCAGUGAAAUGCGUAGAGAUGUGGAGGAAUACCGAUGGCGAAGGCAGCCCCCUGGGCCAAUACUGACGCUCAUGCACGAAAG